GAUGAACGCUGGCGGCGUGCCUAAUACAUGCAAGUCGAGCGAACAGACGAGGAGCUUGCUCCUCUGACGUUAGCGGCGGACGGGUGAGUAACACGUGGAUAACCUACCUAUAAGACUGGGAUAACUUCGGGAAACCGGAGCUAAUACCGGAUAACAUGUUGAACCGCAUGGUUCAACAGUGAAAGACGGUCUUGCUGUCACUUAUAGAUGGAUCCGCGCCGCAUUAGCUAGUUGGUAAGGUAACGGCUUACCAAGGCAACGAUGCGUAGCCGACCUGAGAGGGUGAUCGGCCACACUGGAACUGAGACACGGUCCAGACUCCUACGGGAGGCAGCAGUAGGGACUCUUCCGCAAUGGGCGAAAGCCUGACGGAGCAACGCCGCGUGAGUGAAGAAGGUCUUCGGAUCGUAAAACUCUGUUAUUAGGGAAGAACAAAUGUGUAAGUAACUAUGCACGUCUUGACGGUACCUAAUCAGAAAGCCACGGCUAACUACGUG
rnacentral:rRNA from 1 species